UGCAGGGCCACGUGGAUGGUACGGGUGAGAUAGUGGAGAAAGAGCCCGAAGGGGAUUCGUUGUGGGUGAAGGUGAAAGUAGAUAAAGGGUUGUUGAAAUACGUGGUGCCGAAGGGGUUUAUUGCGGUGGAUGGGACUAGUUUGACGGUGGUGGAUGUGUUUGAUGACGAGGGAUGCUUCAAUUUCAUGCUGGUAGCUUAUACACAACAGAAGGUGGUGAUUCCUUUGAAGAAAGUUGGGCAGAAGGUCAAUUUGGAGGUGGACAUUUUGGGGAAGUAUGUGGAGAGAUUACUUAGUAGUGGGUUUGUUGAAUCCAUUAAGGCUUCCUGAUACCAAAAGAGGCCUUGAUUGUGUACAUACUGAAAGAAUGUGAUGCACCUGCAUGGAUCCUAUGAGUUCUAAAAUAGAAACAUGCGGAGUUUCUGGAUGUUGUUUUUGGGAUUAGUUUCCAUCCUUAGACAAGCAUAGGAGGCUGGUUACAAAGAAAGUGCAUAAGACAAGUAAUAGUUGUCAAAGAGCAUUGUUAUGAACUAUUUAGAGAUUCAUCAACCCCAAUCAAUUUAUUGCUGGAUAUCUUAUCAAAACCAGUUAUCAUACUGUUGAGGAACCAUGAUUUCAUUUGAAGAUGACUAAAGGCUAAAGUGUCUGCUAGGAACUUUCCUUGGCCUCCCAAGAGUAGUAGUUUGGUGGUAAAUGUACCCUGUGUCAUUUCUUUGCAUUUUUGUUCACUUGUGUUUUUAUGGGUGGGCUGGUUUGGGGAACAAGUUGUUUAGUGGUUUAUGGACAGUCCAGGCAGUUGUCUCUCACUUGCUGGUGCAGUUUGUCGUCUAUGUGGGCUACAUAAGUCAAAUUCACAUAAUAACAACAAAGAAGUAUGAAAAUGAUUUGUUUAUUGUAUUCCAAUCUGGCAUUGCUUUUUCCCAAUUUGGUCAAUUCCACCAUUGCUCCAUUAUGUAAAUUGGCGAUAUUAUUGUGAAUUUCUUUGGGUGGGUUUUUGGAGGAAUAAUUUUAUGGCAAAGUGCUCAGUGCCUGAAUAUUAAAAUUUUUUUUCCCAGAGUCUAAUUGAUCUUUUACCUGUAUUCUGUCUCUCGCACUUCUAAUGGCUCAUGAAAUUUUGACUAAAUAUUCAGAAGAUAAAAAGCAUUGCAUUUUUUGAGUUCAUUUAUUUGUGUUGAUUAUCCAGGCACAAGCAUG
rnacentral:misc_RNA from 1 species